CGACAGCUAUUUUACACCUGCUUUCAAGCGCUCCCAAAAUAUGUAUGGCAGACGUCCACCUGGAUCUGCAAGAGAUCAAAGGUCCCAUCGUUCAAAAUGGACAAGGGUUUUCAGCUGUAUAUGUGCACUUAUAUACACAACUAUGAAGGGUGUGACGCCCGGACCCAUCAACUCCAUGGUCUUCACCAAGCCAGUACCAAAGCGAAGGGUACAGACUGGAGAGUGGAUUCUACAGAGGCCUGGUCUGGCCAUUACCUGAUCCCUGCAUGUUCAGAAUA